rnacentral:rRNA from 1 species
UACAGAGGUCUCAAGCGUUGUUCGGAUUCAUUGGGCGUAAAGGGUGCGUAGGUGGCGGGGUAAGUCAGGUGUGAAAUCUCGGAGCUCAACUCCGAAACUGCACUUGAUACUGCCUUGCUCGAGUACUGGAGAGGAGAUUGGAAUUUACGGUGUAGCAGUGAAAUGCGUAGAUAUCAGGAGGAACAGCGGUGGCGAAGGCGGGUCUCUGGGCCGAUACUGACGCUGAGGAGCGAAAGCAUGGGGAGCGAACAGG